rnacentral:lncRNA from 1 species
AGACACUUUGGAUCCGGUAGGCAUAGCUCUCCCACAGGAGACUGUUUAGGCCAUGCCUGGCAUCAGUAACUCAGGCUGUUUCCCACACUACAGGCCAGCACUGUGGGCUCUCAGUUUAUUGGGAAAUGGAAAUAAGAGGGAAGGACAAAAGUCCACUGGGAAGCAGACUGGACAGAAAGGAACUCUGAGCAGCUAAACUCUGACUAAUCCCAGGGUAUACCUGCGUUUUCUCUUCACCAGAUUUUUCCUACCAGGAAGAGCAUGUGCUGACCAACAGACAUGAAUUUCAGCCUGGUAGUUACAACAUUCACAGGAGUUUCACUCGUUGCCCAGGCUGGAGUGCAACGGCGCGAUCUCAGCUCACUGCAACCUCCGCCUCCCCAGUUCAAGCGAUUCUCCUGCCUCAGCCUCCUGAGUCACUGGAAUUACGGGCGCCUGACACCACGCCCAGCUAAUUUUUUGUAUUUUUAGUAGACAUGGGGUUUCACUAUGUUGGCCAGGCUGGUCUCGAACUCCUGACCUCAUGAUCCUCCUGCCUCAGCCUCCCAAAGCACUGGGAUUACAGGUGUGAGCCACUGUGCCUGGUCCAUUAAAAACAUUUGUAAAGCUAUGGUGUUGAUAAAGUAUUAUGAAAGACUGCAAAAAAAGAUGGCUAAUUUUUAGUUAUUAUUGCACAUGUUUAGAGGAGCUAAUGACAUUUUCUAUGAUUAAUAAAAGACAUUAUUUAUGUUUUUAUUUAUGUAUUCCACAACAUUUAUUUUAUUUUCUCCAUUUCAGGAAAACCACUAUGUUGUUACAAUAAAGAUUUUCAUGUAAUUUGUGUUCAAUUGAUAGUAAUAAUGUAACAAGUUAAAAAUGAAGGUAAUUGUGUUUAAAAUUUGAGCAUAUUUUCAUCAAAAUGUAAGUUAAAGUGAUUGUAAAUUUUAAGAUCAUAAUUACUUUGUAUAUCUUCAAGAAAAUUAUUGUUUUAAAAUAUUUAUGCCUAUUAAAAUUAGAAGGCAAAAUAAAAAUAUAUGAAUACCAACAUUUUAAAUAAAAAUCAUUUAAAUAAAG